ACGAGGAUCUUCGGAUUCUAGUGGCGGACGGGUGAGUAACGCGUGAGAAUCUGCCUUCAGGUCUGGGAUAACAGCUGGAAACGGUUGCUAAUACCGGAUGAGCCGAGAGGUAAAAGCUUUAGUGCCUGAAGAUGAGCUCGCGUCUGAUUAGCUAGUUGGUGGGGUAAGAGCCUACCAAGGCGGUGAUCAGUAGCUGGUCUGAGAGGAUGAUCAGCCACACUGGGACUGAGACACGGCCCAGACUCCUACGGGAGGCAGCAGUNGGGAAUUUUNCGCAAUGGGCGAAAGCCUGACGGAGCNACGCCGCGUGAGGGNAGGAAUGCCUGUGGGUUGUAAACCUCUUYUCUCAGGGAAGAAGAUCUGGCGGUACCUGNGGAAUCAGCAUCGGCUANCUCCGUGCCAGCAGCCGCGGUAAUACGGAGGAUGCAAGCGUUAUCCGGAUUUAUUGGGCGUAAAGCGUCCGUAGGUGGCUUUAUAAGUCUGCUGUCAAAGCCCACAGCUUAACUGUGGAUCGGCAGUGGAAACUAUAGAGCUUGAGUGCGGUAGGGGCAGAGGGAAUUCCCAGUGUAGCGGUGAAAUGCGUAGAUAUUGGGAAGAACACCGGUGGCGAAAGCGCUCUGCUAGGCCGCAACUGACACUGAGGGACGAAAGCUAGGGGAGCGAAAGGGAUUAGAU
rnacentral:rRNA from 1 species